UUUUUUUCUUUUUGCUUUUGCUUUUGUUUUUGAUUUUGUGAUGGGCUUCUCGCCCGUUUAGGGAUGGCAAUGGGUAGGGUUUGGAUCGGGUAGUAUACUACCCAUCCCCAAACCCGAACUUAAUACCCUAUACCCAAACCCUACCCGAUACCCAAUCGGGUAAGAAAAGAGAUACCCAUCCCCAUACCCAACGGGUUCGGGGAUACCCAUGGGUAACCCAUUUCCCCAUACCCAAUCCAUACCCGCCCCAUACCUAACCCAUACCCAUCCAUUCUAUACAAAAAAAAAAGUAAAAUAAUUUUAUGCAUACUAUCAAUCAAAAAUAGAAUUACCAAUUAUAUAUACAUACAUCCAUACAUACGCACAUACACACUUCUAACACACACACACAUACAUACAUGCAUACAUAUAUGCAUGCAUACAUAUACAUACAUACAUAUAUAUAAUUAUAUAUAUAUAGAGAGAGAGAGAGAGAAAGAGAGAGAGAUCAUAUAUAUG
rnacentral:lncRNA from 1 species